CCUACGGGGGGCAGCAGUGGGGAAUAUUGGACAAUGGGCGAAAGCCUGAUCCGGCCAUGCCGCGUGUGUGAAGAAGGCCUUCGGGUUGUAAAGCACUUUCAGUGGGGAAGAAAGCCUUGGGGCUAAUACCCUCGAGGAAGGACAUCACCCACAGAAGAAGCACCGGCUAACUCCGUGCCAGCAGCCGCGGUAAUACGGAGGGUGGGAGCGUUAAUCGGAAUUACUGGGCGUAAAGCGCGCGUAGGCGGUCUGAUAAGCCGGUUGUGAAAGCCCCGGGCUCAACCUGGGAACGGCAUCCGGAACUGUCAGGCUAGAGUGCAGGAGAGGAAGGUAGAAUUCCCGGUGUAGCGGUGAAAUGCGUAGAGAUCGGGAGGAAUACCAGUGGCGAAGGCGGCCUUCUGGACUGACACUGACGCUGAGGUGCGAAAGCGUGGGUAGCAAACAGGAUUAGAUACCCCAGUAGUC
rnacentral:rRNA from 1 species